rnacentral:tRNA from 1 species
UCCGGGAUCGUCUAAUGGUAGGACACAUGCCUCUGGAGCAUGGAAUCGGGGUUCGAAUCCCUGUCCCGGAA